GGCUUGGUGGUCUAGAGGUAUGAUUCCUUCUUAGGGUUGAGCGUCCUAGCUCGCUUGCAUGGAGGAGGUCCCGGGUUCGAUUCCCGGCCAAGCCC